GAUGAACGCUGGCGGCGUGCCUAAUACAUGCAAGUCGAGCGAAGCGGGGACGGGUGAGUAACACGUGGAUAACCCCCUAUAAGACUGGUAUAACUUCCGGAAACCGGUUCUAAACCCGAUAUUUAUUUUUGGUUCCGCGCUGUAUUAGCUAGUUGGUAAGGUUACGGCUUACCAAGGCAACGAUGCAUAUCCGACCUGAGAGGGUGAUCUGACACACUGGAAAUGAGACACGGUCCAGAAUCCUACGGUAGGCAGCAGUAGGGAAUCGUCCGCAAUGGGCGAAAGCCUGACGGAGCAACGCCGCGUGAGUGAUGAAGGUCUUCGGAUCGUAAAACUCUGUUAAUCGGGACGCGGUACCGGAAUAGAAAGCCACGGCUAACUACGUGCCAGCAGCCGCGGUAAUAC
rnacentral:rRNA from 1 species